UACGAAGGGGGCUAGCGUUGCUCGGAAUCACUGGGCGUAAAGCGCACGUAGGCGGCUUUCUAAGUCAGGGGUGAAAUCCUGGAGCUCAACUCCAGAACUGCCUUUGAUACUGGGAAGCUCGAGUCCGGAAGAGGUGAGUGGAACUGCGAGUGUAGAGGUGAAAUUCGUAGAUAUUCGCAAGAACACCAGUGGCGAAGGCGGCUCACUGGUCCGGUACUGACGCUGAGACGCGAAAGCGUGGGGAGCGAACAGG
rnacentral:rRNA from 1 species